CUUUUCAGUGUCGAAGAUAGAUCAGAGAGAAUACUGAAUGGUGGAGAAAAAUCUGAUGAAGACUCUCUCCUCUUUGAUUUUUCUCUCAUCCAAAAAUCUAGAACAGUUUUAGGUCUCUCACCCGAGAGGAGAAUGGUCUCCUCUUUUGUUCACGCCAAGGAAGAAAGAAACCCAUCCAAAGCUCAUGUCACAAAGAAGGUUUUUGACCCUUCUUUUCCUCUGAUAUCUCAUGAUGAAAAGUUCUCUCUAAUUAGUAUACAAAAUUAUGGUCUUUUUAUAGUUGUGGUACAAACCAGGUAGGAU
rnacentral:lncRNA from 1 species